UUGACUGACACUGGACACUUAGUCCCAAUUCCAAUUUCCUGAGGAAGAAACUGUGAUGGCUCAAUUGUGAUCAGAGGAACAGGGUCUUAAACAAGCCCAGGUCUUUGAGAGUCGUUGCCUCUGGGCAUUUCCAUGCCUGUCUUCCAACGCAGGCCCUCAAGCUAAAGCAAGGAGAAAAGAAUCUGGUGACAAGCAGAAUUAGAAACCUGUCUAACAGCCAAAGAAGACAAAGUGGAGGCCUGCAAACCUGUAGGGAUGAAUCUGAGCCUGUUUCUGACUUUCCAUCCAGUCCCACUGUGAGGCAGUGAGCACCCAACAGAAGAGGCAGGGAUGUCAGCUAGCUCUGGGCCCCUGUGUUUUCAGCAGGGGAACUGUUGUGUUUGAGAGGCUCACUUCUACCAACUGUGAGAUGUGUGUCCAGACCCUGACUCUGAACACGGAUUACCUGCGGCAGCUGUCACGGGGAAGACCCCACUACACAGACAAGUGGGAGAGAGGCUCAUCCCUCCCAGCGACAGGCUGCAGUUUCCUCCUCAACUGUAAACAAAGAAAUUGGACCAGCUGACCUCAUUCUAGCAGAGGCUCCAGGGGUUCCACGGAAUUUCCCUCAGUGGAGAGUAAGAGUCAUGGGACAGGGGGUGUCAGUUCUGACUCUUCCUUUCUAGGACCUGACCCGAAGCAGGUGUUCAAUAAACGUUGGUUAACUGACUGACUGACUAACAGAAAUGAACCAAAGAGAAUAGCUAGCACAUGGUCUUGUUAGACCAAGCACUCUAGGAUGUCCUUCAUGCAUUCAAUAAAUAUUUAUUAAAUA